GGAGGCGGCAUCGAGGAUGCUGUGUUGCUGUUCCAAAAGUUUGGCGACGGUCUCGGCGGAUUGGCGGUAAGCCUGCGAAAAGCGCGGGGGAGCUGGCAAUAAAGCAAUGAUUCCGCGAUGUCCGAAUGGGGGAACCCACUGCAUUCUGUGCAGUAUCCUAAGUUGAAUACAUAGACUUAGAGAAGCGAACCCG
rnacentral:rRNA from 1 species